CCUAGCAUGGGUAACACCCUGAGUUCAGUGCUACAAUAACAGAACUUGAACAAAAGACUGCUUCUAAAUGUCCUCGGGGCAUAACUGGUGUGUAUAGUCUUAAGACCAAGAGGAGGCUUGAGAAUAUGCCAGCUGUUUCCUGGCCUCAGUUGGUUGGUGUAGCAUGCUCUUGGAUAACGAGGAGGAUGCUUCUACGUCCAGGGUCCUGCCCCUCCACAUCUUCUGCUGCAUGUGCUAUGUUGACCUCUCAAGAAUAGGAGCUCUGACUAGAGUCUUUCCCACCACAGGUGAAAUUGGGAAGAAGAAGAAAAGUGUUUUUCAGCCAUCACAGGUUUCUCAAUUCUCCAGUGGGUUUCAUCUGUCCUUCAAGCCCAGUACAUUUGAAGAAAGUACAAGUGGGAGUUUUGCAACCUUAAACUCCAGGUCCAAGGUGGCCCUUUAUAUCACAUUACAUCGCUCCUCCCAAAGAUGUCUGAAUCAUUUCUUCCCAGAGAACCCGCAUAAAGUUCCCAGCACCCACAUGGCAGCUCACAACCAUGAACAACUCCAGUUCCAGAGGAUCUGACACCUUCCUCUGGCCUCUGCAGGCUCCAGGUGGAAGAUUAUGGAAUAUUUGAACACCAGUUCAGAAGAGGGCUUCAUUCUAGUGGGCUUCUCAGACUGGCCUCAUCUAGAACCCAUCUUUUUUGCCUUAAUUUCUAUUUUCUACUCUCUGACUCUCUUUGGCAACACCGUGAUCAUCAUUCUGUCUCGACUGGACCUCCGCCUGCACACACCCAUGUACUACUUCCUCUGCCACCUCUCCUUCCUGGACCUCUGCUACACUACCAGCACUGUGCCUCAGCUUCUAGUCAAUCUCUCUGGACUUGACAGAACCAUCAGCUUUGGAAGGUGUGUGG
rnacentral:lncRNA from 1 species